CCUACGGGUGGCAGCAGUGAGGAAUAUUGGUCAAUGGACGCAAGUCUGAACCAGCCAAGUAGCGUGAAGGAUGACUGCCCUAUGGGUUGUAAACUUCUUUUAUAUGGGAAUAAAACGUUCCACGUGUGGGAUUUUGUAUGUACCAUAUGAAUAAGGAUCGGCUAACUCCGUGCCAGCAGCCGCGGUAAUACGGAGGGUACGAGCGUUAACCGGAUUUAUUGGGUUUAAAGGGAGCGUAGGUGGAUUGUUAAGUCAGUUGUGAAAGUUUGCGGCUCAACCGUAAAAUUGCAGUUGAAACUGGCAGUCUUGAGUACAGUAGAGGUGGGCGGAAUUCGUGGUGUAGCGGUGAAAUGCUUAGAUAUCACGAAGAACUCCGAUGGCGAAGGCAGUUCACUGGACUGCAACUGACACUGAGGCGCGAAAGUGUGGGUAUCAAACAGGAUUAGAUACCCGUGUAGUC
rnacentral:rRNA from 1 species